UGGGGAAUUUUGGACAAUGGGCGCAAUCCUGAUCCAGCAAUGCCGCGUGCAGGAUGAAGGCCUUCGGGUUGUAAACUGCUUUUGUACGGAGCGAAAAGGUCUGCCCUAAUACGGUGGGCUCAUGACGGUACCGUAAGAAUAAGCACCGGCUAACCACGUGCCAGCAGCCGCGGUAAUACGUAGGGUGCGAGCGUUAAUCGGAAUUACUGGGCGUAAAGCGUGCGCAGGCGGUUAUAUAAGACAGGUGUGAAAUCCCCGGGCUCAACCUGGGACCUGCAUUUGUGACUGUAUAGCUAGAGUACGGUAGAGGGGGAUGGAAUUCCGCGUGUAGCAGUGAAAUGCGUAGAUAUGCGGAGGAACACCGAUGGCGAAGGCAAUCCCCUGGACCUGUACUGACGCUCAUGCACGAAAGCGUGGGGAGCAAACA
rnacentral:rRNA from 1 species